AAUGGUAAUGACCCAUUUUGUUUGGGUUAGUUUGAAAGCAUUUGCUUUGAUAGUGCGAAGCAUGUUGUCGACUGUGUGCGUAUUCUUACCCGGAAAGUUAAAUGUGAUUGCCGGGUUUAUGUAAAAAUGGGGUUUUUAUGGGCAAUUUCCGAGACCCCCGAAAAGGUCUAUUUUACCCCAGAUAUAAAUUUAAAGAGCAUUUUCUGCAUUGUUUUGUGCUUUAUUUUCAAGCUGUUGACGGGCCGCAAUGAAUAUGGUCUGAAUAUAUUUUCAGGUUGUGACUGAAGGCCUUGUUUUGAGGGUGUUUUGCAGACCAGUGCUUGUCGGCCUGGGGAUUUUCCAGAAAAACUGUAGACUGCCCCCUUAAGGUUUAGGUCUGAGAGUGUAUGCCAGAGUGUCUGCCUGUGCUAACCCUGCUGUGGUUCUGACGAAUUGACUGUCCCUGGCUUCCUUGUCUGUCAGCCGUACCAGUCGUUUAGAAGCUUUCGGCGCCUCGGAACUUGCACUGGAAACUCCAGGUUGUGACUGAAGGCCUUGUUUUGAGGGUGUUUUGCAGACCAGUGCUUGUCGGCCUGGGGAUUUUCCAGAAAAACUGUAGACUGCCCCCUUAAGGUUUAGGUCUGAGAGUGUAUGCCAGAGUGUCUGCCUGUGCUAACCCUGCUGUGGUUCUGACGAAUUGACUGUCCCUGGCUUCCUUGUCUGUCAGCCGUACCAGUCGUUUAGAAGCUUUCGGCGCCUCGGAACUUGCACUGGAAACUCCAGGUUGUGACUGAAGGCCUUGUUUUGAGGGUGUUUUGCAGACCAGUGCUUGUCGGCCUGGGGAUUUUCCAGAAAAACUGUAGACUGCCCCCUUAAGGUUUAGGUCUGAGAGUGUAUGCCAGAGUGUCUGCCUGUGCUAACCCUGCUGUGGUUCUGACGAAUUGACUGUCCCUGGCUUCCUUGUCUGUCAGCCGUACCAGUCGUUUAGAAGCUUUCGGCGCCUCGGAACUUGCACUGGAAACUCCAGGUUGUGACUGAAGGCCUUGUUUUGAGGGUGUUUUGCAGACCAGUGCUUGUCGGCCUGGGGAUUUUCCAGAAAAACUGUAGACUGCCCCCUUAAGAUUCAUCUGUGCUUAAGACCCUGUGACUCAUGGCCGCUGCUUUUUUUUCGAGUUUUCCCCCGGAUCAGCUUGUAGUGAAACUGGAAGCUGUUCUGGGUGAAAAGAGUUUAGGUCUGAGAGUGUAUGCCAGAGUGUCUGCCUGUGCUAACCCUGCUGUGGUUCUGACGAAUUGACUGUCCCUGGCUUCCUUGUCUGUCAGCCGUACCAGUCGUUUAGAAGCUUUCGGCGCCUCGGAACUUGCACUGGAAACUCCAGGUUGUGACUGAAGGCCUUGUUUUGAGGGUGUUUUGCAGACCAGUGCUUGUCGGCCUGGGGAUUUUCCAGAAAAACUGUAGACUGCCCCCGAAGUAAACAAAAUAAAGUGAGCCAUUUGUCUGUAUUGGGUGGCCGAAACCGCGCUGAUGUGUGCCGGCGCAUUCUGAAGCAUUGCAUGUCAAAUGAGGUGGCCAACCAGUACAGCUGGCAUGGGAGGAAGAAAAAGGCAGUAUUUGGAAAACUUUCUAUUGGCUGAUGCUGUGCAGAAAGCUGUCAUGCGGUCCUUGAAAUGCACAGCUGCAGAAGUUGAACAUGAGUGCAGGGAAUGGUUUAGAACAGCCUCUGACCGUGACGGUGGAAGAAAAAAGAGGACAGCCAAAAUAAGUGAUGAACAGUCCCAAUGAAUUUUAACUCGUGUGUGUUUUAACUUUUAAUUUAGUCUCCUGCUGCAAUUUGUUAUGAUGUAAAGGUCUCUUUGAACUUGAAAUUAAUGAUUUUACACAACUUUUCUUUUAAUAUGUAUACUGAUGGAAGCAGUGUAUAUUUUUGUUGUUUUUUUUUUGCCUUUAUUACCUAAAUAGCUGUAACUCUGUGUGUUACUUAGGUAAACGUAACUUUUCAAUAUAUUCUUGUUCUAAUUGUUUUCAUUUGUCAUUUUUGAAGAAAACAAGUUUCAUGUAGUUUGUAUUAAUAUUGAAGACAAUUUUCUUGUAAUAUUUUUUAUUCAAAACUUUCUAGAAAUGCCCAUAAUUUAUGUCUAAGUUCAGGGGACAUACAAGGUGUUUAUUUCUGAAAAUACUCAAUUAUAAAAAUCAAUUCCCUCAAUUCAUUUUGAAUUUGAUAAGUGACAGAACUCAAUUAUUUUUAUUUUCAAGUGAUCAUUUCCUGGUGAAAACAACAAAUAAUUUUAAUAUAUGUUAGUUUAAGGUAUUUAUAUGUAAAUAAGUCCCAGUAAACUACUCAAUUAUAUAUCAUUCAGCAAUAUAUUGCUCUGUCCUACUGCAAUGUAUUCAUUAACAAAUACUGGCUGCUUUAUACUGCAUAUCAUUAUUAGUUCUCUUUAAAGGAAUGGUCUGACUUAAUGGCUUUUUUUUCAGUAUUUUGGGGAUGUGAUCCCAUUCCAUGAAAUUGGGAAAUGUUGUGUCAAUAUAUAUAUUUACCUGCAGUUCAGAAAAAGUACAACUGAUUAACUACAAGUCUUAUUCCACAUUUCACAGCUAGUAUUUACCAUUUAAGACUAUUCAACAAUGAGGAAUUGCUUGACUUGAUUUAGGGGGAAAACAUGUGUUCUGCCAUUGACAACAUGGCCCAUUACCUUAAAGUGAGAUUUCUAGUCACUUGUACAUUUACAUUUUGUGCCAUUACUAUGUUUUGUUUUUUUUGCUGGAUAGCAAUUUCCUGAAUUUACUUGUUACAAUUUUUGUGUAUCGUAUGACUGCUAUGUUGUAUUUUGCUGACUAGUCUUGUUACUAUUUUUUGUGUAUCAUAUGACUACAUUGUUGUAUUUUGCUGACUAGUCUUACUUGUUACUAUUUAUUGUGUAUCGUAUGACUACUAUGUUGUAUUUUGCUGACUAGUCUUAUUUGUUACUAUGUUUUGUGUAUCGUAUGACUACGAUGUUGUACUUUGCUGACUAGUCUUACUUGUUACUAUUUUUUGUGUAAGGUAUGACUACUUUGUUGUAUUUUGCUGACUAGUCUUAUUUGUUCUUAUUUUGUGUGUAUCUUAUGACUACUAUGUUGUAUUUUGCUAACUAGUCUUAAUUGUUACUAUUUUAUGGGUAUCAUACGCUAUCCAUUUUAAAGAAAGGGUUAUUUUAUUAAUUGCCAGGGUAUAUAGACCAGUUUUGAUAAUAUGGGUGAUAUGAACCAUUUAUACAUGCAUGUUUGGUAAUUUUCCAUGUAUACAAUAUGCAUGUUGGAUACGUUGGUUUUCUUCAUAAUUCUCUUAUUUUAUUUUCAUUUGCUGAAUAUUCUAUUACCAAAAUACAAAACUCAAGUCAUUUGGUCAUUUAACAUUUUGUUUCAAUGUGUUACUUUUUCAGUUUCUGUACCUGUAGAAUUAUAGAGUCUGUUUAAAUAAUUUCUUUUACAUUUGUUGUUAGUCAAUGUAUAUAUUAAUUAAUUUUACCCCAUUAGAAUAAAAAUGUUGGAAUUAGUAAUAAAUCAGUUUAAUAUUUUCAGUUUCAAGACAGUAGUAUAAUUAGCAAAUACUGUAUUCCAGUUUGGUUGAAAAGAAUGUAAAAAUAAAAUGUUGUCU